UAUCUUGUCUGUCCCAGGGCCAGGACUUCUGCUACAGUGGCUUCCAGGAGAACAGUAACUCCCCGCUGUGGGUCCUGGGGACCAUCUUCGUCCGGGAGUAUUACAGUGUCUUUGACAGAACCCAUAACCGCGUGGGGCUGGCCAAGGCUGUCUGAUUGAACACUGACCACAUUUUCCCCAAACACACACAUGCACAAAUACAAGUAUACGCACACACAUGC
rnacentral:lncRNA from 1 species